GAUGAACGCUGGCGGCGUGCCUAAUACAUGCAAGUCGAGCGAACAGACGAGGAGCUUGCUCCUCUGACGUUAGCGGCGGACGGGUGAGUAACACGUGGAUAACCUACCUAUAAGACUGGGGUAACUUCGGGAAACCGGAGCUAAUACCGGAGAAUAUAUUGAACCGCAUGGUUCAAUAGUGAAAGACGGUUUUGCUGUCACUUAUAGAUGGAUCCGCGCCGCAUUAGCUAGUUGGUAAGGUAACGGCUUACCAAGGCAACGAUGCGUAGCCGACCUGAGAGGGUGAUCGGCCACACUGGAACUGAGGCACGGUCCAGACUCCUACGGGAGGCAGCAGUAGGGAAUCUUCCGCAAUGGGCGCAAGCCUGACGGAGCAACGCCGCGUGAGUGAUGAAGGUCUUCGGAUCGUAAAACUCUUUUAUUAGGGAAGAACAAAUGUGUAAGUAACUAUGCACGUCUUGACGGUACCUAAUCAGAAAGCCACGGCUAACUACGUG
rnacentral:rRNA from 1 species